UCUAACUGCUUCGUCCGGUGGUAGUUCGCAAAACCCCCUGUUGGCUGUGUCAUGAUUCGUUUGGUCGUGGGACGAAGCAGUAAGAGAAAAUGACCCUGAACUUUGAUCAUGGAAUUUUUGGAGAUGAAGGUGUAAACUAUGACGGACGGACGAAGUUUAAACCGGAGUGACCCUUUGGCUGUCACAGACCUCUUGGUGGUUGGAGAGUGACAACUGUUAUCUAUGCAGCUAAUUGGUUCCAUCAAAUCUUUUAUUGCGUACUUAGUAAUCUACUAAUAUUAUUGUUCCAUUAAAAAAAUAUUUAAUUUCAGCGUGUUGUAAUCUCAAAGACCUCUUCCACUUUAUUGAUUAUUAAAUUGCCUUACUUUUUUGAAUGGGUUCAUUA